rnacentral:tRNA from 1 species
GGUGGCUUAGUGGUUAAAAUGCUUGGCUGCCAACUGAAAGGUUGGUGGUUCAAACCCACCAGCCACUG